CCUACGGGAGGCAGCAGUGGGGAAUAUUGCACAAUGGGCGCAAGCCUGAUGCAGCCAUGCCGCGUGUGUGAAGAAGGCCUUCGGGUUGUAAAGCACUUUCAGCGGGGAGGAAGGCGGUGAGGUUAAUAACCUCAUCGAUUGACGUUACCCGCAGAAGAAGCACCGGCUAACUCCGUGCCAGCAGCCGCGGUGAUACGGAGGGUGCAAGCGUUAAUCGGAAUUACUGGGCGUAAAGCGCACGCAGGCGGUCUGUCAAGUCGGAUGUGAAAUCCCCGGGCUCAACCUGGGAACUGCAUUCGAAACUGGCAGGCUAGAGUCUUGUAGAGGGGGGUAGAAUUCCAGGUGUAGCGGUGAAAUGCGUAGAGAUCUGGAGGAAUACCGGUGGCGAAGGCGGCCCCCUGGACAAAGACUGACGCUCAGGUGCGAAAGCGUGGGGAGCAAACAGGAUUAGAUACCCGAGUAGUC
rnacentral:rRNA from 1 species